rnacentral:rRNA from 1 species
CCUACGGGAGGCAGCAGUGGGGAAUAUUGCACAAUGGGGGAAACCCUGAUGCAGCGACGCCGCGUGAGUGAAGAAGUAUUUCGGUAUGUAAAGCUCUAUCAGCAGGGAAGAAAAUGACGGUACCUGAGUAAGAAGCCCCGGCUAACUACGUGCCAGCAGCCGCGGUAAUACGUAGGGGGCAAGCGUUAUCCGGAUUUACUGGGUGUAAAGGGAGCGUAGACGGCAGCGCAAGUCUGGAGGGAAAGGCGGGGGCUCAACCCCCGGACUGCUCUGGAAACUGUACGGCUGGAGUGCAGGAGAGGUAAGUGGAAUGCCUAGUGUAGCGGUGAAAUGCGUAGAUAUUAGGAGGAACACCGGUGGCGAAGGCGGCUUACUGGACUGUAACUGACGUUGAGGCUCGAAAGCGUGGGGAGCAAACAGGAUUAGAUACCCGGGUAGUC